AUUGAACGCUGGCGGCAUGCCUUACACAUGCAAGUCGAACGGCAGCAUGGGUGCUUGCACCUGAUGGCGAGUGGCGAACGGGUGAGUAAUGCAUCGGAACGUACCCGGAAGUGGGGGAUAACGUAGCGAAAGUUACGCUAAUACCGCAUAUUCUGUGAGCAGGAAAGAGGGGGAUCGCAAGACCUCUCGCUUUCGGAGCGGCCGAUGUCGGAUUAGCUAGUUGGCGGGGGAAAGGCCCACCAAGGCAACGAUCCGUAGCGGGUCUGAGAGGAUGAUCCGCCACACCGGGACUGAGACACGGCCCAGACUCCUACGGGAGGCAGCAGUGGGGAAUUUUGGAGAAUGGGGGCAACCCUGAUCCAGCCAUGCCGCGUGAGUGAAGAAGGCCUUCGGGUUGUAAAGCUCUUUCGGCUGGGAAGAAAUCGCAUCUCCUAAUACGGGGUGUGGAUGACGGUACCAGCAUAAGAAGCACCGGCUAACUACGUGCCAGCCGCCGCCGUAA
rnacentral:rRNA from 1 species